GGGCCCGCACAAGCGGUGGAGUAUGUGGUUUAAUUCGACGCAACGCGAAGAACCUUACCAGGUCUUGACAUCCUAGAAACUUAGCAGAGAUGCUUUGGUGCCUUCGGGAAUCUAGUGACAGGUGCUGCAUGGCUGUCGUCAGCUCGUGUCGUGAGAUGUUGGGUUAAGUCCCGUAACGAGCGCAACCCUUGUCCUUAGUUGCCAGCACAUUAUGGUGGGAACUCUAAGGAGACUGCCGGUGACAAACCGGAGGAAGGUGGGGACGACGUCAAGUCAUCAUGGCCCUUACGACCUGGGCUACACACGUGCUACAAUGGCCAGUACAGAGGGCUGCAAACCCGUGAGGGGGAGCUAAUCUCACAAAGCUGGUCGUAGUCCGGAUCGCAGUCUGCAACUCGACUGCGUGAAGUUGGAAUCGCUAG
rnacentral:rRNA from 1 species